CAGCCGCCGCGGGAAUACAGAGGGUGCAAGCGUUAAUCGGAAUUACUGGGCGUAAAGCGCGCGUAGGUGGUUCGUUAAGUUGGAUGUGAAAUCCCCGGGCUCAACCUGGGAACUGCAUCCAAAACUGGCGAGCUAGAGUAGGGCAGAGGGUGGUGGAAUUUCCUGUGUAGCGGUGAAAUGCGUAGAUAUAGGAAGGAACACCAGUGGCGAAGGCGACCACCUGGGCUCAUACUGACACUGAGGUGCGAAAGCGUGGGGAGCAAACAGGAUUAGAUACCCCGGUAGUCCCUGUCUCUUAUAU
rnacentral:rRNA from 1 species